ensembl:lncRNA
CUUCGUUUUUAAAGCUAGAAUCCUUACUUGCUACCUACAUCACUGACUUAUACAUGAAUUAUAUUUACACCCAUUGAUUCCUGAAGACUAUAACUUAUAAAUGCCUCAUGAGCUUAGUUCAACUGUCGAACCCCAUCAGAACCCAAAAUAUACGUUUUUUUUUACUCACAAUGUUGGUAAACAACGUACAUGUAAACAAACACUAUAUGUCCUCAAAACAUGGUUACAACUAUACUUGAUAACGUAGAUGGGCAGUUCUUGAAUCCAUAGCUCUUACAUUUCUCCAAGCCCAUCCCUCAGCUUUUUUCAACUGGGGAUUCUAGCUUUAAUACUCACUGAGAAUGCAAGCAUUUAUAGGAAGCUACUGUAAAUUAAAUUAACUUUAUUGUGAUGAAGUGCAGAGAUGCCCUGUACAGUAAUUCUGCCCUUAGAACGGACCUUGGUCUUCAGCUAUAUCUGUCUGGGAGAAGGCCUUUUUGAAGGCCUCACUGAAUUCUAGGUUACAGUUCCAUUAUGUGGUUUGAUGCUUUGGUUGAGUUGUAAGGAGGGCUAAUGACUUCGAUAUUCAAUAACUGAAUUUUAUCAGAUGCUCUGAAAAGUAACUCAAUGACUUUGCAAACUGUCAUUCUGUUUGUCUCUUGAUUUCUCACACCUCUCUCGCUCUGUCUGCCUCUAGAUAAAGUAAUGAAGUUACUAUUCUGUACAGCUCCACUCUCUCGCUCUGUCUGCCUCUAGACAAAGUAAUGAAGUUACUCUUCUGUACAGCUCCACUCUCUCGCUCUGUCUGCCUCUAGAUAAAGUAAUGAAGUUACUCUUCUGUACAGCUCCACUCUCUCGCUCUGUCUGCCUCUAGAUAAAGUAAUGAAGUUUCUCUUCUGUGCAGCUCCACUCUCUUGCUCUCUGUCUGCCUCUAGAUACUGGCUGUCAUUGAAAAAUUAUUUGUUCUUAACUGAUUUGCAAAAAACGACUACAAGCAUACCCAUAACAUGACGCAGCCACCACUAUGCUUGAAAAUAUGGAGAGUACUACUCAGUAAUGUGUCAUACUGGAUUUUAAAUGCUUUACCAAAGUUAAAUGCUUUACCACAUUUUUUGCAGUAUUACUUUAGUGCCUUGUUGCAAAACAGGAGACAUGUUUUGGAUUUAAAAAAUGUUGUACAGGGUUCCUUAUUUUCACUCUGUCAAUUAGGUUAGUGUUGUGGAGUACCUACUCUGUUGUUGAUCCAUCCUCAGUUUUCUCCUAUCACAGCCAUUAAACUCUGUAACUAUUUUAAAGUCACCAUUGGUCUCCUGGUGAAAUCUCAGAGUGGUUUCCUGCCUCUCCGGCAACUGAGUUAGGAAGGACACCUGUAUCUUUGUAGUGACUAGGUGUAUUGACACACCAUCCAAAGUGUAAUUAAUAACUUCACCAUGCUCAAAGGGAUAUUCCGUUUCUACUUUUACCCAUCUACCAAUAGGUACUCACUUCUGUCAUCAUGAAGUGCUUUGAGAGACUAGUCAAGGAUCAUAUCACCUCUACCUUACCUGACACCCUAGACCCACUCCAAUUUGCUUACCGCCCCAAUAGAUCCACAGACGAUGCAAUCGCCAUCGCACCGCAAACUGCCCUAUCCCAUUUGGACUAGAGGAAUACCUAUGUAAGAAUGCUGUUCAGAAUGCAUUCAACACCAUAGCACCCUCCAAGCUCAUCAUUAAGCUUGAGGCCCUGGGUCUGCACCCCGCCCUGUUCAACUGGUUCCUGGACUUCCUGACGGGCCACCUCCAGGUGGUGAAGGUAGGAGACACCAACUCCACUUCACUGAUCCUCAACACUGGGGCCUCACAAGGAGGCGUGCUCAACCACCUCCUGUACUCCCUGUUCACCCAUGACUGCUUGGCCUCGCACGCCUCCAACUCAAUUAUCAAGUUUGCAGAUGACACAACAGUAGUAGGCCUGAUUACCAACAAUGACGAGACAGCCUACAGAGAGGAGGUGAGGGCCCUAGGAGUGUGGUGCCAGGAAAAUAACCUCUCAUCCAACGUCAACAAAACAAAGGAGCUGAUCGUGGACUUCAGGAAACAGCAGAGGGAGCACCACCCUAUCCACAUCGACGGGACUGCAGUGGAGAAGGUGAAAAGCUUCAAGUUCUUCGGCGUACACAUCACUGACAAACUGAAAUGGACCACCCACACAGACAGUGUGAUGAAGAAGGCGCAACAGCGAGAGAUUGAAGAAAUUUGGCGUGGCACCUAAAACCCUCACAAAUUUUUACAGAUGCACAUUGAGAGCAUCCUGUCGGGCUGUAUCACCGCCUGGUAUGGCAACUGCACCCCCUGAAACCGCAGGGCUCUCCAGAGGGUUGUGUGGUCUGCCCAACGCAUCACCAGGGGGGCAAACUACCUGCCCUCCUGGACACCUACAGCACUCGAUGUCACAGGAAGGCCAAAAAGAUAAUCAAGGACAACAACCACCCGAGCCACAGCCUAUUGACCCGCGAUCAUCCAGAAGGCGAGGUCAGUACAGGUGCAUCAAAGCUGGGACCGAGAGACUGAAAAACAGCUUCUAUCUCAACUUCUAUCUCAAGGCCACCAGACUGUUAAAUUAGACUAGGCUGCUGCCCUUUAUACAUAGACUUGAAAUCACUGGCCACUUUAAUCAUGGAACACUAGUCACCUUAA